GGGGGAAUAUUGCACAAUGGGCGGAAGCCUGAUGCAGCGACGCCGCGUGGGGGAAGAAGGCCUUCGGGUUGUAAACUCCUUUCGACAGGGACGAAGAGUUUGUGACGGUACCUGUAUAAGAAGCACCGGCUAACUACGUGCCAGCAGCCGCGGUAAUACGUAGGGCGCGAGCGGUGUUCGGAAUUACUGGGCUUAAAGAGCUCGUAGGUGGCUGGUCGCGGCGUCUGUGAAAUUCCGGGGCUUAACUCCGGGCGUGCAGGCGAUACGGGCUGACUUUGGCUCUGUGGGGGGGACUGGAAUUCCGGGGGUAGCGUUGAAAUGCGCAGAUAUCAGGGGGAACACCGAUGGCGAAGGCAGGUCUCUGGGCAGUAACUAACGCUGAGGAGCGAAAGCAUGGGUGGCGAACAGG
rnacentral:rRNA from 1 species